rnacentral:rRNA from 1 species
UACGUAGGGAGCGAGCGUUGUCCGGAUUUAUUGGGCGUAAAGCGCGCGUAGGCGGUUUGGUAAGCCGGAUGUGAAACCUCCAAGCUCAACUUGGAGCCGCCAUCCGGAACUGUCAUGACUUGAGUCAGGUAGGGGAACACGGAAUUCCAGGUGUAGCGGUGAAAUGCUUAGAUAUCGGGAGGAACACCUGUGGCGAAAGCGGCGCACUGGACCACAACUGACGCUGAGGCGCGAAAGCUAGGGGAGCAAACAGG